rnacentral:lncRNA from 7 species
CAUUAGCACCCUGUCGGAGCGAUUUGUCGUGAGCAGUGGCGACGCAGGUUGUGGCCAUCAUCGAAGACCUCUUGGCGCCGCUGUUGGGGCCUCGGUGUUGAGUUGUGGCGUCACCUUGAACCUCUGGGGACAUAUCUGUGACCUUGGCGGGAGUUGCGGUGCAUCGUGACCGAGUUAAUUCCUCGCCGUCAUCACACCGCCGCCGCGGAUCCGCCCACUGUCGUGGUCCGCUAAAUCUCCGGCAUAUACCGCGGUG